rnacentral:tRNA from 2 species
AGCCGGAAUAGCUCAGUUGGUAGAGCAGAGGACUGAAAAUCCUCGUGUCACCAG